AUCUACAGCCACACCACCCUGAACAUGCCUGAUCUCGUCUGAUCUCAGAAGCUAAGCAGGGUCAGGCCUGGUUAGUACUUGGAUGGAAGCCCACAUCUUUUCUUCUUCUGGGAAGAGAGAUGAAAUC
rnacentral:rRNA from 1 species